GCAAUGCACGCAAACUUGUAUGCUGAAAUUCAUACAGAGCAUUUCCCACUUUUAAAAAGAAUGGCCACGAGGCCCACGACACAUCACUUCCAAAUAUACUCCGACGUUCGUUGCGCGACCUCCACGUUCCUUCGCUCACUCGCCACCACCCCCGCCCUCCUCCUCCUCCCCCUACGCGCCUCCUCCGCGCGUCGCCACCCUCACUCGCUUCGGUCAACGCUUUUGUUUCGCCCUCGGGCUUUCUCCAAUGGCUCUGGCGCCUGUGAACCGUCCGUCGAGAUGGUUGCGGAUAAGCCGUCGAUUUGUACUGCCGACGAGCUCCACUAUGUCUCCGUGGCGAACUCCGAUUGGCGACUCGCGCUUUGGCGCUAUAAUCCUCCUCCUCAGGCGCCAAAGAGAAAUCAUCCGCUGUUGCUGUUAUCUGGGGUGGGAACUAAUGCCAUUGGUUAUGAUCUCUCUCCUACUUCUUCAUUUGCACGGUACAUGUCUAGCCAAGGAUUUGACACAUGGAUACUUGAAGUUCGAGGUGCUGGGUUGAGUGUGCGGGGGUCAAAUUUGAAAGAAGUUGAACAGUCUGCCCAUGAAAUAUCCGAGCAGAUGGAAGCUGUUGCUGAGGGUACCACUGGUGAAGCUGUGAGAAAGAGUACAGUUGAUGGAGUCUAUUCUGCAGAGCAGCAGCGGACUGAUGGCCCUGAUACCUUGACAGAUUCUAGGAUUUCUUCUGUUGAAGAAGAGGCAACGAGGUUAGCAAUAGUAUGGGAUGAAUCAAAGCUGGUGACAAAGUUUACUGAAACUUUUAUGCGUUUGUCAGAAAGUCUCUCAGGCUUUCUUAGUGAAAGCCAAACAAAGAUAAUAUCGGCUAAACUGUUUGAUCAACUAUCAAAACUUUUAGAAGAUUCUCAGUUGUCUGAACGCUUUAAUGAGAUACGGGUAAAGCUGUCGAGCUUGCUGGAAACAAGGCAAAACUCAGGUAUUGCUAGCCAAAUCAGGGAUUUGAGUGAAAGGCUUGUGAAUACCAUUGAAGAAGGUCAACGAUCUGUUUCACCUCAGUUGUUCGACUUGCAAGAGCGUCUUUUCUCAACAAUAGAUGAUUUUCAGAAGCAGCUUGACUUGAUUGUGAAGUAUGACUGGGAUUUUGAUCAUUACCUGGAAGAAGAUGUUCCUGCUGCGAUGGAAUAUAUAAACACACAAAGCAAGCCAAAGGAUGGUAAGCUUCUUGCAAUAGGGCAUUCCAUGGGAGGUAUCUUGUUGUAUGCAAUGCUGUCAAAAUGUGGUUAUGAAGGAAAAGAAUGUAGAUUGGCAGCUAUUGUUACAUUGGCAUCAUCUCUUGACUACACUUCUUCAAAAUCGACACUCAAAUUGCUCUUACCCCUAGCUGAUCCUGCACAGGCUCUUAAUGUCCCUGUUGUUCCUUUAGGGGCAUUGUUGUCAGCUGCUUAUCCUCUUUCAUCUAGUUCUCCUUAUGUGUUCUCUUGGCUUAAUGAUCUGAUAUCAGCAGAAGACAUGAUGCAUCCGGAGUUGUUGAAAAAGCUUGUCCUGAACAACUUCUGUACCAUACCUGCUAAACUUAUCCUGCAGCUUACAACAGCCUUUCGAGAGGGUGGCCUAUGUGAUAGAAGUGGUAAAUUUUUCUACAAGGAUCAUCUACACAAAGGCAAUGUUCCCAUCUUAGCUAUUGCGGGAGAUCGAGAUCUAAUUUGCCCACCUGAAGCUGUUGAGGAAACGGUUAAGCUCCUUCCCAAGAAUUUGGUUACCUAUAAAGUAUUUGGUGAACCAGGGGGUGCACAUUAUGCGCAUUAUGAUCUAGUUGGAGGACGACUGGCAGUGGAGCAAGUUUAUCCCUGUAUAGUCGAAUUCCUUAGUCAUUAUGAUUCGACACCAUGAUCAAUGCCAUAAACCUUCAUUUCCCCUCUUUAUCACCGCGGAAUUUGGUGUCAGACCAACAUGUAUGUCUCCGCGUGAUCAGUGCUGUGAUACUGGGUCCAUUCAGCUGUUUACUGCAAGAUCUAUCAAUUGGCAGAACUGAAUUAUUUCUCAUUUACAUAGUCCUCCAUGAACGCUUUUUGUCUGAGUUGGGAAUGGACAAGCUGGGCUAGACAGGAGACAAAGACAAGCCUGACCCAGUUUCCACAUAACUUAACAGAGUCAAGCUCGAGCCUGACCUGACAUGUUUCAAGAAAACAGGCCAUGGUCCGGUAUGGAUUCGGCUGUAAACCCUGCCGGUUUUGGUCUGAAUUUUGGCGCAUUUCGUCGGCCUGGUUCACACCCAAAUUUAAGUGCAAAGUUACAGGACAUGGUUCGGUCUGGAUUCGGUUGCAUCCCUUGCCGGUUUGGUCAGAAAUUUUGGCCCAUUUUGUCAGUGUGAUACCAAAUUAGAUAUCAAACAUAACUAGGUCCAUUUCAAAUGGACUGUACGGAGUUCAACGUAAUAGUAGUUUGCAAUAAUGAUACAAUUACAAAGUAAAUAUCUUAACGUAAUAUCACAUGAUAUAGUUGAUGUGUUCAUGUCACUUAAUGAUGAUAAGAUAUGGUAAAUGAUAUGAUUUUGUCCAAUUUUUA